GUUAGGAAUCUUGCACAAUGGGCGAAAGCCUGAUGCAGCGACGCCGCGUGCGGGAUGACGGCCCUCGGGUUGUAAACCGCUUUCAGCAGGGACGAUAAUGACGGUACCUGCAGAAGAAGCCCCGGCCAACUACGUGCCAGCAGCCGCGGUAAUACGUAGGGGGCAAGCGUUGUCCGGAUUUAUUGGGCGUAAAGAGCUCGUAGGCGGUUCGAUAAGUCGGGUGUGAAAUCUCCAGGCUCAACCUGGAGGGGCCACUCGAUACUGUCGUGACUUGAGUUCGGUAGAGGAGUGCGGAAUUCCCGGUGUAGCGGUGAAAUGCGCAGAUAUCGGGAGGAACACCCGUAGCGAAGGCGGCACUCUGGGCCGAUACUGACGCUGAGGAGCGAAAGCGUGGGGAGCAAACAGG
rnacentral:rRNA from 1 species